AAAUUAUGAUUUGGGCACUUCCUCAAUAGGUCCUUAAAUCUCUCCCAAACUUCAUAAAAACUCUCUUGAUCAUGGUGGGCAAAAGUGAUUAUCUCAUUGAGAAGCUU
rnacentral:snoRNA from 1 species